UACGGGGGGGGCAAGCGUUGCUCGGAAUCAUUGGGCGUAAAGCGCACGUAGGCGGCUUCGCAAGUCGGAUGUGAAAUCCCACGGCUCAACCAUGGACGUGCAUCCGAAACUGCAAGGCUUGAGUAUGGAAGAGGGUCGCGGAAUUCCCGGUGUAGAGGUGAAAUUCGUAGAUAUCGGGAGGAACACCAGUGGCGAAGGCGGCGACCUGGGCCAAUACUGACGCUGAGGUGCGAAAGCGUGGGGAGCAAACAGG
rnacentral:rRNA from 1 species